rnacentral:rRNA from 1 species
CCAAUCGAACCCGGAGAUAGCUGGUUCUCCUCGAAAUAGCUUUAGGGCUAGCCUCGAGACAGUCUAAUGGAGGUAGAGCACUGAAUUUCCUAGGGGGCGUCAAAGCCUACCGAAGAAUAUCAAACUCCGAAUGCCAUGUAGAUGAUUCUCGGGAGUCAGACUGCACGAGAUAAGUUGGGUGGUCAAAAGGGAAAGAGCCCAGACCUGCAGCUAAGGUCCCCAAGUUGGUGUUAAGUGGAAAAGGAUGUGGGAUUUCCAAAACAGCUAGGAUGUUGGCUUAGAAGCAGCCAUACAUUUAAAGAGUGCGUAAUAGCUCACUAGUCGAGAGGUCCUGCGCCGAAAAUGUCCGGGGCUGAAACACCACACCGAAGCUCAGGAAUCACACAUAAGUGUGAUUGGUAGAGGAGCAUUGCAUACGGAAUGAAGCAGUACCGAUAAGGAGCUGUGGACUGUAUGGAAGAGAGAAUGCCGGAAUGAGUAGCGAGAAUGAAGUGAGAAUCUUCAUGGCCGAAUAUCCAAGGUUUCCGGGGUAAAGCUGAUCUGCCCCGGGUAAGUCGGGACCUAAGGCGAGGCUUAAGUGCGUAGCCGAUGGACAACAGGUUUAGAUUCCUGUACUUCCCAUGAACAGAACUGUGGGGACACAGCAGACGGAGCGCGAGCCGGAAAAGGAAAGUCCGGCGCAAGCGGUGAGUGUGUCAGGAGGCAAACCCCCUGUAUAAACACGAGCCGUGAUGCGGAGCGAAAUACAAGUAGCGAAGAGUGCCGAGCCGCUGUCGAGAAAAGCCGCUAUUGUUUUGUGGGAACCCGUACCGUAAACCGACACAGGUGGAUGAGGAGAGAAUCCUAAGGCCGGCGGGAGAAGCAUUGUUAAGGAACUCGGCAAAAUGACCCCGUAACUUCGGGAGAAGGGGUGCCUGCAGAGCUAUCUGCAGGCCGCAGAGAACUGGCCCAAGCAACUGUUUAACAAAAACACAGGUUUAUGCAAAACCGAAAGGUGAAGUAUAUGAGCUGACGCCUGCCCGGUGCUGGAAGGUUACGAGGAGAUGUUAGAGCAAUCGAAGCAUUGAAUUUAAGCCCCAGUAAACGGCGGCCGUAACUAUAACGGUCCUAAGGUAGCGAAAUUCCUUGUCGGGUAAGUUCCGACCCGCACGAAAGGCGUAAUGAUUUGGGCACUGUCUCGACAAUGCACCCGGUGAAAUUGAAAUACCAGUGAAGAUGCUGGUUACCCGCGCCAGGACGGAAAGACCCCAUGGAGCUUUACUCCAGUUUGAUACUGGGAUUCGGUAAUGCAUGCACAGGAUAGGUGGGAGGCUAUGAAGCAGGAACUCCGGUUUCUGCAGAGCCGCUGUUGGGAUACCACCCCUGCGUUGCUGGAUUUCUAACCUGCGCCCGUGAUCCGGGCGGGGGACAAUGUCAGGCGGGGAGUUUGACUGGGGCGGUCGCCUCCGAAAGGGUAUCGGAGGCGCUCAAA